CCUACGGGCGGCUGCAGUGGGGAAUAUUGGACAAUGGGCGAAAGCCUGAUCCAGCCAUGCCGCGUGUGUGAAGAAGGCCUUCGGGUUGUAAAGCACUUUCAGUGGGGAAGAAAGCCUUGGGGCUAAUACCCUCGAGGAAGGACAUCACCCACAGAAGAAGCACCGGCUAACUCCGUGCCAGCAGCCGCGGUAAUACGGAGGGUGCGAGCGUUAAUCGGAAUUACUGGGCGUAAAGCGCGCGUAGGCGGUCUGAUAAGCCGGUUGUGAAAGCCCCGGGCUCAACCUGGGAACGGCAUCCGGAACUGUCAGGCUAGGGGGCAGGAGAGGAGGGAAGAAUCCCCGGGGUAGGGGGGAAAGGCGUAGAGGUCGGGAGGAAUACCGGGGGCGAAGGCGGCCUCUGGAACUGACCCUGCCGCGGGGGUGCGAAAGCGUGGGUAGCAAACGGGAUUAGAAACCCCGGAGUC
rnacentral:rRNA from 1 species